rnacentral:lncRNA from 1 species
UUUGAGAAGUACUCAAACUCUGUGUCAGUGUCAUACUCUCGUAACAGAAAGGUUAAUAAGCCAGAAUUAAUGUCCUUGGUAAAUUAUUUUCCCUUGAGGCAGGAUCUUGCUAGCGGAAUCUGACUGGCAGCCUCCUGAGUGCUGGAAUUACAGGAAUAUGUCACCACACCUUGUUGGCUGUUCUUUGUAACCCGUGUAACACAUACCAUAUACAUUAUUUCUAUGAACCAAAGGAUAACUUAAGUUUUCAUUUCAGAAAUGUGUCUUCUGCGAAUGACGAGAGCAAGACGCUCACAAGUUGAGCAGCAGCAGCUCAUCAGCGUUGAGAAGGCCCUUGCAAUCCUCUCUCAGCCCACACCCUUACUUGUCGUGGACCAUGACCAAUUAAAAAGUCUUUUGAAGACUGUUGUUAGAAAAAGCGAAGCCUACAAUAUAUUUCAGCUGGAGAACUUGUACGCAGUGAUCAGCCAGUGUAUCUAUCAGCAUCGCAAGGACUACGACAAAACAGCACUCAUUCGGAAAAUGGAGCAGGAAGUAGAAAACUUCAAUUGUUCCAGAUCAUGAUGGCAUCCUAUCAAGUAUUUUUUAUGUUCAGAUUCAAUUUAAUUACCUUUCAUGUAUCCUCAGAGUAAUUGAUGCAAGAUGAAAUCCUGCAUCUCACAGGAAACAAUUGAAACAGGCAAACAUAUUUAAACUUUCCUGAUAGUUAUGUACAUGUGUACGGUAGUUGACAAACACCAUAAGCUUGUUUGAACAAGGCACUAUAAUAAUAAUAGUUGACAUUUAGCCAGCUUUUUAAAUCUGAAUGUUAAAAACAUGAUGUUAUCUCCAUUUCAAAGUCCUUGAUGGGCUUAUGAUGGUCAGAUGAAAUGAUUUUUUUUUUUGCACGGGGAUUGAACUUGGGACUUUGCACUUGCAAGGCAAGCUGUGGCACCACUGAGUGGAAUCCUAGCCCUAGCCAGCUUUUUUUUAGUAAAGCUGUUUUGUGGUCCUGGUGCCUCGCGGCACUUAGGAUUACUUAGCAGUGAUGAGUUGUGAAGUACACACUGCGACUCCCACCCCGGUCACCAUCACCACCGCCUGGCUCUUGCUUCAGUGGCCCUCGCCCCUCCCUGAAAUGCCAGAGUCCAGGGCACACAAUCAUUCUCUACUUGAGUGUCACAGUCAAAGCUUUUUAGAUAGACAAUUUUAUAAUUCUAAUUUGGGUUAAUAAAGAUUUUUUUUAUUUUCUGCUUUUAUAAUUAUAUACAAAAAGAAUGACUACCUUUCCUAAAG